AGCUCAAAAAAGAGUCAGUGAAUAUUGUGGGAGGGUCUUCUUCUAGACGUCCAUCCUUUAAGAAAGGAAAGAAGAACAAGAAAAGGGUGCAAAGUGCUAGGGUACCCAAAUCCAGUCAAACCAAGAAAUCCAAGUCCGAUUAGAGUCAGGUGAAAUGCUUCUACUGCAAGAAGCAAGGGUACUGAAAAAAGAAUUAUUCUCAAUACAUUGCCUCCCUGGAUCCAA
rnacentral:lncRNA from 1 species